UUGUUUUAUCCAUUCAUCCAUGAGCAUUUUCAUCAUAUAGAUUAGGAUUUAGCCAUGUCUAGGUUGCAUUUUGCAUUCAUUGUCCUUAUUAGGUGUUGGAGUGCCACAUGGAGUUCUUGGGGACAUUUGGAUGCAUUUGGAGCUUAAAGGACGUGAAAUAGGUGAUCAUUGGACGAGCAGAGCAUGGGAGCGAGGUUCCGCAGCAACGUCAUGAGGUCGCUCCAAAGCACCUCUCAGAGCGACCUAGCUAGAGCGACCCCGUGAAGUCGCUCGCCAUACUCAUCCCGUUGGAAGCCCAGAGCGACUUGCCCAGAGCGACGCACCGAGGUCGCUCGCAUCUCACACCCCUCUCGGAGCGACCUCCCAAAGCGACACCCCGAGGUCGCUCGCGUCUCUAUGGCGAGACGACACGAAGCGAAGCCCGGAGCGACCUCUCAGAGCGACCCACUGAGGUCGCUCCCGAAGGCCGGAGCGACUUGUCGGAGCGACAUGCCGAGAUCGCUCCGCGUCUAUUGUUGGGUCGAUUUCUAUUUUACUUAAGGGCCUUUUGGUCAUUUUAUUAUGCACGUUUUACAUUUCAAAAACCUAUGUUUUAAACAUCUUUUGUAGCCACCAGGGCAGAUUAUCUUUUGAUCUAUUGAGAAAUACACAAAAACUCUCUGGAGAAGUUCAUCUCUUGGA